rnacentral:rRNA from 1 species
GUCUGGUGAUGAUGGCGAAGAGGUCACACCCGUUUCCAUACCGAACACGGAAGUUAAGCUCUUCAGCGCCGAUGGUAGUCGGGGGUUUCCCCCUGUGAGAGUAGGACAUCGCCAGGC